rnacentral:tRNA from 1 species
GCGCGAUUAGCUCAGUUGGUUAGAGCAACGAGUUUACACCUCGAAGGCCGGGGGUUCGAGUCCCUCAUCGCGCA